rnacentral:rRNA from 1 species
AUUGAACGCUGGCGGCAGGCCUAACACAUGCAAGUCGAGCGGAGCGGCGGACGGGUGAGUAAUUCCUAGGAAUCUGCCCGGUAGUGGGGGAUCACGUCCGGAAACGGGCGCUAAUACCGCAUACUAUCAGCCGAGCAUAGGUUGGAUUAGCUAGUUGGUGGGGUAAAGGCAUACCAAGGCGACGAUCCGUAACUGGUCUGAGAGGAUGAUCAGUCACACUGGAAUGGGAGCCAGGUCCGUACUCCUACGGGAGGCGGCGGUGGAGAAUAGUGGACAAGGGAAUAAUGACUAGUCCAGCCAUGCCGCGUGUGUGAAAGAGGUCUUCGGAUUGUAAAGGACUUUAAGUUGGGAGGCGUUACCAGCAGAAUAAGCACCGGCUAACUUCGUGCCAGAAGCCGCGGUAAUUC